rfam:Stegodyphus mimosarum contig103853, whole genome shotgun sequence.
AAAAAGGUUUUCUUCAAAACUAUCGCUUUGACUUGGAAAAUAUUAU